AUUAAUUUUAUUAAAGAAAAGUAAACCCAAACAAAUACAACAGUAAACAAAAUUGUAGCAAAGCAUCAAAAAUAACAAUACAUUGUAAAUUGUAUAAAAAUAUACUAUUUGAGAGUUUGAGCAAAUUUAUAAUAUUCUUUACAUUACAUUCACAUUUUAAAUACUUAAUAUUCAAUACAAAAAUAUCACCCUGUUUCGUUGACAAUUCAAACAGUAAACAUGUAUAUUUCAUUAACCAUUGACACGAAUGUUAAACAAUUUAUAUCUAAUACAUUUGUAGAAUCGUUUAAAAAAAUAAAAUAUAUAAAACCCCUUAGUACCAACUUAAAUACAUAAUCAAAUUGUGUUACAACAUAAAAAUAAUAAAAAUACACGCAUUACAUCCACUCAUACAUAAUAUAAAACGGCAUUUCUUAAAACACUAUCAUUAUGUUCACGGAAAUAAAUAACAUAUUAUCGCAUAUAUACUUUUAAACACGCAAAGGCAGUGACUAGCUUCAGUAUGAGACUGUUUGAUUGCGGACGGAUAUUGCACUCAUCUUACCGUUGAUGUCCGUUUUGGUUUGACCAGCUCUUCCGUGUUUGCAUUGCAUAAGGUUUAGGGUUUUGAUAUAUGUUGGCCUCGAGCAUCACUGAAGAGACAUCAAUUGUCCAGAUUCGAGUCUAGGGCAUUUAACUUGGAUGUGAUGAAAUGUACAAAGAUGUGGUAUCAUCAGCUCAGUUUUCAGUGAUUCGGUACUUACAUGAGUUAUAACAUACUUUACGUAUAGAUGAGUUUUAUUCGCCAUUAAUUAAUUGAAAACAUAAAUUAAAAAGAAAUAAAGUUACCCUCAGGUAAAGUCGACCUUAGACUCGGCUAUUGUCUAAGCUACAUGGUGCAUAAAGCUCAUCUAGUAUUCAAAUAAUACAUCUAACUUUUAGACCUUUGGGUUUGAGCUUUCCAGAUGAAGGCACUUUUGUAAAUCUAGAAAAGCGUAUUGGACGCACAACAUUUAUAAAGUGUAAAUUUAUUAUUUGGACUUGUGUUACUUUGACAAAUUAAAAAGUUACAGCACUUACAUGUAUUAAAAAAAAGCAAUAAUAGAUAAAAAAAAAAAAUGCUUUCACCUUCAGAUUAUAUAUUUUGGCCAACAAAUACUAUCAUUAAUAAUUAUACUUUAGUGGUUUUGAAAACUGUAAAUAGUGUCUAUCAAUGGACAACCGUCUAGCAACACAAUACAAUCAAUGAUCAGAAUAAUUGAUUAAAAGUAGAUUUGCGGUAUUUGUCAGUGAGAUAGCUAUCUAAAGACAAACCCUCACCUUCUCAAAAACCAAUAUGUCAAAAUACAUUCGUCAACAAUAGAUAGGUGUGUACCCAUUUCUGUUGAACCUCCGAACUGAGUUCUUGCGAUUUGAUCGUUUUGUUUUACUUUGAUGUGUGUAUAUUACAUGUUUGAUUUUUUUGCCAGAUUUCUUUUAUUGACAAUACUCUAUGGCUUUGUUUUUCAAUUCACAGUUGUGGUUUGAUCAUCAGUUUGCAAAGAACUUUGCUCAAACCGGGGCUAUGGGACGUCUUGCAGUGAAGUGAGAGUUUGUUUGCUCCUUGUUGAAGGACUGAGGCACUGUGACUUUGAGAUAAAGCAAUAAAAGCCCUGUUUCAUUAUUUUUUUGUGUUUUUUUUUUCGGUGCACAUACUGAUUUUGUGUCAUUGAUGGAUACCCCAUUUCCUUAUUUUUCCCAUUAAGGUGUAAAUUCGGAAAUGUUUGCUAUGUUAUAUUUGUACUUAAAUUCAGUUAUCACGGUGCGCUGUACCCUAUAUGUUUUGUUUGGUUAUUAGUGAGUUUACGUAUACAUUUAUACCAUAAUCUCAUUGGUGGUUACUGAACCUUUAAAUUUGACGUAACGAGUCUUUUUCAAUUUGGAUCCAAGGAGGAAGGCAGGAGACAAUUGAACUCCAAUAUAAAACCAAAAACCCGCCAUUCCUCCCAGUAAAUUGAUUAUUUUGUAAAUAUAAACAAGUGUGGACACAGAUUUGUGUGAUUUGAUGGGCCAAUUUUUGUAAUGAUUUAUGCGGGGAUUAAUUGUGCAGAAUGUCCGUAUGUGCACAUGCCAUUUAAAAUUAAGCGUUUUGUUGUGUUUGGUUUGCAAAUGUGGACACUGUUUUACAUCGAAAUAGAAACAGAUACUUGGAGAAGUUAAAACAAAGAAAGACAUCUCUCAGAAGAAACACUUGAGAAUUUCAGUAAAUAUAUUUGUUGCUGAUAUUGAACAUGCAAUUCUUGUAAAUAUAUUUAGAAUUAGAAACUGCUUUGGUUUAUGUUAUCUUUUCAGGUGAUGCAUGAGUUGACAUUUCUGGAAGCCUACGUGUAUUUUGCGAAAUGGACAGAUGAAGAAUUCCGCUUGAUGUUAAAAGAAUUGUCGUCAAAGAAUGACUUACAAUUGUACUCGGAUUGCAUAAUUCGCUGCAUCAAAAAAACAUUUCGUUUUAUAAAUAGUAUCAUUCACUACAGAUGAACAAUGUCAGGGUUUUGAUCCCUCAACUGUGUUCCCACGGUGAUCCAAAUUUUUCGAAUCUUAUAUUCAGUUACCACAAUCUGUGGUAGUCAUUUAUAUAUAUAUAUAUUUGAUAGUACGGUUGCCAUAAUCAGCGAUAUGCCGGUAACCUCAUAUUUUCAGAUAUACAAGUGACAGUUAAAUUGCCAGCGAUCUGCGGCACAUACAUACAUUUAUAUUAAGAUUACUUACAUACAAUAUGUAUAAAUUUAAAUAAUAUUAAAGGCUGUGGCCAAAUACUGCCAAUUUGUUGUUGGGUUUUAACAAGCA